GCAUCAAUGGGGUAGUGGUAACCUGGGUCGUUGCCAUAACGUUGAAUUUAUCAGUCUAUCGACCCGCCGGGGGUUCAAUUCCCCCUUGAUGCA